UACGAAGGGGCUAGCGUUGCUCGGAAUCACUGGGCGUAAAGCGCACGUAGGCGGCUUGUUAAGUCAGGGUGAAAUCCUGGAGCUCAACUCAGAACUGCCUUUGAUACUGGCGAGCUUGAGUUCGGAGAGGUGAGUGGAACUGCGAGUGUAGAGGUGAAAUUCGUAGAUAUUGGGAAGAACACGAUGGCGAAGGCAGCCAUCUGGACCGACACUGACGCUGAGGCGCGAAAGCGUGGGAGCAACAGGG
rnacentral:rRNA from 1 species